GAUUUUAUUUGUUCAAGAGUUUUUAUGGAUACAAUUGAGAACAGGAAGUUGUUCAAUCCAAUCUGGCUUGGUUCCCCAUUAUCAACAUCAAUCAAGGUGGCUGCGCUCCCUUAACAAAGUUCAUAAUUCUUCAACAUUUUAAAGUCCCAAACAAGUUUAGUCCAAGUGGGACAGAUUGAUAUGGAAGAAUUCUAACUCGAUAACGAGUUUUUUUCAAGUGGAGGUGUAUGACAUGGUGCUAGACUUCAAAUUUUGGACAAUGCAACAGCUAAAAUCUAGUUUAGAUCACUAUUAUCAAAGGCGCGCCUCCUAAGAGGCAGGAAUCAAGGGGGCGCAAGUGGUGGCGCCUGAAGGAGAAAGAGGCGCAGGACAUCACCCAGGCGCAGCGAGGCGUGGCUAGGUGCGCGGCGCCCCUAGGCACACCCGAUAGAGUCCAAGCACAUUUAAAAGAAAAAAUAGGGUUU
rnacentral:misc_RNA from 1 species